rnacentral:lncRNA from 1 species
AUGCUGCAGGUGUGUGCCCCGAUACACCCUUCAGCUGGCCUGGGCAGGGUACAGAACCGGGGUGGCAUUCCCGGGGCUGGGCCACUGGCUAAGGCCUCUGAUUCAUCCGCAGGUGAUCCCUGUGUGAGGAACGAGGUCCAGCACACGGUGCCCCGCUCGCUUGGUGUCUACAAAGUUGUACCACCAGACUGGAAGGAUCAACCUACAAGGGCACAAAGGAAAAGGAGAAGGGAAGGGAAAAGAGUCAGCAUGUGUUAUAAAAUGAUUAGAAAAUGGGAAAGGAAGUACCUGGUACAGCAAAAUCAACCAUCAAAUGAACACACCCCAGUGAUGGAGUCACCAAAGCCCAAAGGGGCUCAGUCUCCUUCAGUUCAGGAAUGAAGCGAAGGGAUAAGGAAAGGAAGAGACAGGUACAGGCUUUCCUACCCCACUGUUUCUACUUCCUGCUGCUAAUUAUUAUUAUUACUAUAUUUGGGCUUGUUAGAAAAUUCUGCUUGGCAAGGCAUUCCUUCCUGAAGGAUGGAGCCAGGCGGAGGGCAGGGUAUGGGCCAGGGCUGGGGAAGUGUCAGGAAAACACCCUAAAGCCAUUCCUGGGAGGUUUCAAGCCCCCAAAGGAUUAUUGGAAAACUGAGACUUCAGGCAGGAAUUUUAGCCAUCCUAAGAGUUCUGAACCUGGAAUCCAUGGAUAGCAUUCUGGGGACCAUGAACCAGAGCUGGUAAUUACAUCUUUAUUUAAAUUAACCUUUACCACCAGGUGCAGUGGCACUCACUUACAAUCCCAGGUACUUUGAGGCCUCCAGCAAGACCCCUGUCUCAAAAAAAAAAAAAAUUAACCUUUAACUGAAAUCUAGCAUUUUCUUCAUUUAUGAAUAUAGGUGAUAUUCCGUCUCAACACAUUACAGUCACUGAAAAUAUCUCAAAAUAGCAUUUAUUUAUUUAUUCAGAGACAGAGUCUUGUUCUGUCUCCCAGGCUGGAGUGCAGAGGCAUGAUCUCGGCCUACUGCAACCUCCCGGGUUCCAACGAUUCUCCUCCCUCAAGCUCUGAGUAGCUGGGAUUACAGGCACGCACCACCACGCCCUGCUAAUUUUUGUAUUUUUAGUAGAAACAGGGUUUCACCAUGUUGGCCAGACUGGUCUUGAACUCCUGACCUCGUGAUCCGCCCACCUUGGCCUGCCAAAGUGCUGGGAUUACAGGCAUGAGUCACCACACCUGGCCUCAAAAUAGCGUUUAUCCUCAUCUCCAAGAUCACAAGUUAUUAGACCCACCCCUAGAACUUGUUACUUAAUAUGUUAAUAACUAAGCAAAUAAAUCAUAGACCUAAUUGUAAGAGCUAAAACUA